AUUUGGAGAGGAUGCUUUUGGCGCGGCGCCGUCCGAGUUCCUUGGAACAGGACGCCACAGAGGGUGAGAGCCCCGUACGGACGGACGCCUAGCCUCUACAAAGCUCCUUCGACGAGUCGAGUAGUUUGGGAAUGCUGCUCAAAAUGGGAGGUAAAUUUCUUCUAAAGCUAAAUACCGGCCAGAGACCGAUAGCGCACAAGUAGAGUGAUCGAAAGAUGAAAAGCACUUUGAAAAGAGGGUUAAAAAGUACGUGAAAUUGUUGAAAGGGAAGCGCCUGUGACCAGACUUGCGCCCCGCGGACCACCCGGCGUUCUCGCCGGUGCACUCCGCGGGGCGCAGGCCAGCAUCGGUUCUCCUAGGGGGACAAAGGCCGCGGGAACGUAGCUCCUUCGGGAGUGUUAUAGCCCGUGGCGGCAUGCCCCUGGGGGGACCGAGGACCGCGCUUCGGCAAGGAUGCUGGCGUAAUGGUCACCAGCGACCCGUCUUGAAACACGGACCAAGGAGUCAAGCAUUGGGGCGAGUGUAUGGGUGCCAAACCCGCACGCGAAAUGAAAGUAAACGCAGGUGAGAGCUUCGGCGCAUCAUCGACCGAUCCUGAUGUCUUCGGAUGGAUUUGAGUAAGAGCCUUACCGCUUGGACCCGAAAGAUGGUGAACUAUGCCUGAAUAGGGUGAAGCCAGAGGAAACUCUGGUGGAGG
rnacentral:rRNA from 2 species